rnacentral:rRNA from 1 species
UGGGGAAUAUUGCACAAUGGAGGGAACUCUGAUGCAGCGACGCCGCGUGAACGAAGAAGGCUCUCGAGUCGUAAAGCUCUUUUAUAUGGGAAGAUAAUGACGGUACCAUAAGAAGAAGCCCCGGCUAACUACGUGCAAGCAGCCGCGGUAAUACGUAGGGGGCUAGCGUUGUCCGGAAUCACUGGGCGUUAUGGGUUCGCAGUGGGAUAUGCAAGUCAGGUGGAAAAGGGUGUAGUUUAACUUAGGUAAGCAUUUGAAACUGCAUAUCUUGAGAAGAGUAGAGGUAAGUGGAAUUUUUAGUGUAGCGGUGAAAUGCGUAGAUAUUAAAAAGAAUACCGGUGGCGAAGGCGACUUACUGGGCUCAUUCUGACGCUGAGGAACGAAAGCGUGGGUAGCAAACAGG